GAAUUGCAUUGUGGUGGUGGACAACUUCCGGGGACUUGUGCUACCCCCCAUGAUGUCAACGGAGUGGGUUGGUGGACCUUCGGGCCUCUGCCUUCGAGAGGACCUACUGGGAUUAGUGAUUUGGUGAGGGAGUGAAUCCCCAACGCGACAAUCCCAAGCUGGUUUGAGAGGAUGAUCAGCCACACUGGGACUGAGACACGGCCCAGACUCCUACGGGAGGCAGCAGUGGGGAAUAUUGCACAAUGGGCGCAAGCCUGAUGCAGCCAUGCCGCGUGUGUGAAGAAGGCCUUCGGGUUGUAAAGCACUUUCAGUAAGGAGGAAAGGUUAAGUGUUAAUAGCACUUAGCUGUGACGUUACUUACAGAAGAAGCACCGGCUAACUCCGUGCCAGCAGCCGCGGUAAUACGGAGGGUGCGAGCGUUAAUCGGAAUUACUGGGCGUAAAGCGUACGCAGGCGGUUUGUUAAGCGAGAUGUGAAAGCCCCGGGCUCAACCUGGGAACUGCAUUUCGAACUGGCAAACUAGAGUGUGAUAGAGGGUG
rnacentral:rRNA from 1 species